rnacentral:rRNA from 1 species
CCUACGGGAGGCAGCAGUGGGGAAUAUUGGGCAAUGGGGGAAACCCUGACCCAGCAACGCCGCGUGAGGGAAGAAGGUUUUCGGAUCGUAAACCUCUGUCCUUGGUGAAGAGUAAGAGACGGUAGCCAAGGAGGAAGCCCCGGCUAACUACGUGCCAGCAGCCGCGGUAAU